UUUUCUACUUCACUCAUUAGUUAACACACAAGCAAGAUAAUGAAGGUGGGCGGUGGAGUGGCUCUCGGAUGUCCACGCGCCGUCGCAUUUCCGGGCAUUUUCUUCGGCCGCUGCAGACCAGCAUUCCGUUGCUAUUCCUCUUCUUCUCCAGAUCAUGUGUCCUUUAUCAAAGAUGUAGCUGCAACUCAAGCACCAGAGCAUUUGAAUGAACUUCUCAAAAUCCUUCAGGUGAGAGGUGAGG